GACGAACGCUGGCGGCGUGCUUAACACAUGCAAGUCGAACGAUGAGGCCGGAGCUUGCUCUGGUGAAUUAGUGGCGAACGGGUGAGUAACACGUGAGUAACCUGCCCUUGACUCUGGGAUAACUGCUAGAAAUGGUAGCUAAUACCGGAUACGACCCUCGGAGGCAUCUCCAGGGGGUGGAAAGAAUUUCGGUCAAGGAUGGACUCGCGGCCUAUCAGCUAGUUGGUGAGGUAAUGGCUCACCAAGGCGACGACGGGUAGCCGGCCUGAGAGGGUGACCGGCCACACUGGGACUGAGACACGGCCCAGACUCCUACGGGAGGCAGCAGUGGGGAAUAUUGCACAAUGGGCGCAAGCCUGAUGCAGCAACGCCGCGUGAGGGGUGACGGCCUUCGGGUUGUAAACCUCUUUUAGUAGGGAAGAAGCGAAAGUGACGGUACCUGCAGAAAAAGCACCGGCUAACUACGUGCCAGCAGCCGCCGUAACAC
rnacentral:rRNA from 1 species